GACGAACGCUGGCGGCGUGCCUAAUACAUGCAAGUCGAACGAGAGCGACCGGUGCUUGCACUGGUCAAUCUAGUGGCGAACGGGUGAGUAACACGUGGGUAACCUGCCCAUCAGAGGGGGAUAACAUCCGGAAACGGAUGCUAAAACCGCAUAGGUCUUCGAGCCGCAUGGCUUGAAGAGGAAAAGAGGCGCAAGCUUCUGCUGAUGGAUGGACCCGCGGUGCAUUAGCUAGUUGGUGAGGUAACGGCUCACCAAGGCCGUGAUGCAUAGCCGACCUGAGAGGGUGAUCGGCCACAUUGGGACUGAGACAUGGCCCAAACUCCUACGGGAGGCAGCAGUAGGGAAUCUUCCGCAAUGGACGCAAGUCUGACGGAGCAACGCCGCGUGAGUGAAGAAGGUUUUCGGAUCGUAAAACUCUGUUGUUAGAGAAGAACAAGUGCUAGAGUAACUGUUAGCGCCUUGACGGUAUCUAACCAGAAAGCCACGGCUAACUACG
rnacentral:rRNA from 1 species